rnacentral:rRNA from 1 species
GUAGUCUGCAACCCGGCUACAUGAAGCUGGAAUCGCUAGUAAUCGCGGAUCAGAAUGCCGCGGUGAAUACGUUCCCGGGUCUUGUACACACCGCCCGUCACACCAUGGGAGUCGGAAAUGCCCGAAGUCUGUGACCCAACCUCAGGGAGGGAGCAGCCGAAGGCAGGUCGGAUGACUGGGGUGAAGUCGUAACAAGGUACC